GAUAAGGCUAUAGGGCGAUAUGAAGAAGCGUCAGAUAGGGGUUUAUUCGGUUUACACACUGGCAACACUACUUGUGUUUUCCAUUCUGACGGGAGAGUUCCUGUGUUUACAAAUGAAUUGAUGAGCUGUAAAUAAUAACCUAAAAUGUUGUCACUGAGAUGAGUAAAGAAAGAAUAUGGUAUUCCGUCGGCCCCAGGGGCGGAAUCUUUAGUAUUAGAUACAACUCCUUUUAAUUCAUAUAGGGAAAAGUCUGAAUCCAAUGCCAUGUUACUUACUGUGUGUGAGGAAGCAUCAUCGCUGACUAUGUUAUGUGGUACCCAAGGGGGAGCUAAUUUGGUUAAAAAGUCAUGAGCUAAAGUUUCUGGUAUUGAUGGACUAGAAAUAUCACUAAACACAGAUUUAAAUCUUCUAAUACUACGCCAAACUAUAGAGGAAGGAGUGUUGGGGGAUAUAGAAAGACAGAAGUUUUUCCAACUCUCAGAUUUCUUUUUUUUCAAUAAUUUAGAGGUUUCUUUAUUUACAGACAUAACUAAAUCAAAAUUCUCUGAAGUCAUAUUAUGUUUAUAUUGUUUUUCAAUCUCUUUUCUGCGUUUAAUUGCUUCUGUACAUUCUGAAUCCCACCAAGGGGGUGAAGGAAUUUUGUUAGAUAAAUUUCCCUUUAGAGGGAAAACUUCAUUUGCUGCUUCGAUCAGAACAUUUGCAAGAGCAUUGGCACAAUCUAGUUGGUUAUCAGAUGAUAUAUUUGGGAGUGAAGAUAUUUUACUUUCUACACAAUUUUUAAAAGUUAGCCAAGUGUCACUAGUACUGUCUGGUAACCUAUGUUUUAAUUGAGAUGAAUGUUUCAGUGCUUUAGGUUUAUUAUAUGGAAAAGAAAUUAAAAUAGGGAAAUGGUCACUUCCAUAUGAGGACGGCAGGGUGCACCAGGUUAAGGAAGAGGCCAAACUUGGUGUACAAAUGGAGAGGUCAACUGCACUAACAUUUUGAUUUGGUGCUGUGAGGCGUGUGGGAGAGCCAGUAUUUAAAGUACAAAGGUUAUUACUGUCAAUUAUAUCAAGAAGUGCUUCACCAUAAUUGUUUGACACUGUACUACCCCAUGUCUGAUGGUGAGAGUUGAAAUCCCCUAAUAAUAAAAAUGGUCUUGGUAAGGAAGAGAUGAUCUGAUCAAUUUCAUUAAUAAUAGACAAAGAGGGAUGUGGAAUAUAUACAGAGGCUAUACAUAUAUUACAUACACUUACAGCUAAAAUAGAAAAAUCUUCACUAUGUACAGGUAAAUUUACAGGAGAGAAUGGGACGGAGUUCCUGAUGAAAAUAGCCACUCCACCAUAUCCAUCAGGUCUGUCUUCUCUAAGGCAAUGGGCUGGCAGAAACAACAUCCGCAAAGGAUUUGGAGGCAGGUGGAUGUAGCUUUGAGGCUUCCGCGUAUGAAACACAAUUAUGGGCCAUAUAAUGUUUUAUUUGCUUCUGGCGAGCCAGCUCUGGACAAGCUUUGCUGGUGGCUAAAUGGGACCCGGAACAUAAGCAGCAAAAAGCGUUAUCUUCCUCCACCAUACAGGAGUCACCAGUGUGAUCAUGACCACACUUGUAACAGCGUGGUUUCGACCGACACUGUACCUUUGUGUGGCCAAAGCGGCAACAGUUGUAACACUGUAUGGUAGGGAAGAUAUAUAGUUCCACUGGAAGUGCAUUAUAGCAAAUAAAAAUACGCUUCGGCAAGACCUGGCCAUCGAAAGUGAUCACAGCAGAUUGUGACGGUUUCCAUACUGGUGUACCAUUAAUAAAGGUUUUAUAAUUGA